rnacentral:lncRNA from 1 species
GCCUUUCCGACGACGGAUCCACGACGACUUUUUCGAUAAUAUCGAAAAUAUCGCGAUAUUUUGACGAUAAUGAGACGGAUAUGUGGGAAAAUAUCGGAGCCUCUGAAAAACGAUAAUAUCGGCAAAAUAUCGCCGAUAUUAUCGAUAUUUAAUACCAUGGGUCCAACUAAUUAGGACUAUUAUUAUUUUUUUAAAUAUAUUUUAAUAAAAAAGAAAAAAGUGUUAGGGGUGAUUUGGGAGUGAGGUGCCUAAAAAAAAACACCUAUGAAAAAAAGCUAUAAGGGUUUUAGAUGUUUGGUAAACUGAAAAAAAAGGGCUUAUUUUGGAAGCUGUUGUGAGAAUAAGCUAAAAUCAAAGGAAAAAGCUGAAGCUGCUAUUUGCAGCUUUGGAAAACUGGUUUUUUUCAAAGAACACAGAGGUACAGUGCUCAUUUAAUGAAAAGACCCACUAUCAGACUGUUUUUUUUUUUUCCAAAAGCACUUUUACAAAAAAGUUUACCAAACACUCUGCUGAUUUAUUUCACAGCCACUUAUUCUCACAGCAGUUUUUUUUCAAAGCACAGCAAUACCAAACCAGCCCUUAAGCUGUUAUAAUAGAGAAAGGAUCCUCUCCAUAUCCUUUUUGUGAGGAUCUCGAGAAUCUUCUAAUCACAUUCGUUCAUUAUACAUCAUGUGAUCAAUUUUUAUUAGGUAUUAUUUAUAUUUAAUUUUAAAUAAAAAAAAUUUACAAUAAUUUCUGACUGCACGAUGUAUGAUGAACGGAUGUGAUUGGAGGAUUCCCAAAAUCCUUACAAAGAGGAUCCAGCGAGGAUCCUCUCUCGUUAUAAUAGGGUUCAACUUCAAGUGGGAAAUUUGGGUCUUUCUUAAUACCAAAAUGAUGAGUUUGAUUUAUCUGAAAAACUCUUUGUGAUACAAACUUUUUUUAUAAUGAAUUUACAAAUAGAGAUUUAAAAGAAUAAAUAUAUUAUCAACAUUUUUAUCGAAAAAGGUGUAAAAAUACGACAAUCGGUAAGUUUAGUAGCACUUUUUUCUUUUUUGAGAAACCUCAAUCUUACUAGAGAUAUUUUAUUGAUAAUGGAAAAAAUAUUACACUUAUUCGUAGACAGACUUUAUCCUUCAUAACACAAAGACAAUAAAAAGCAACACUCAUUAUUAUAACUUGAUAAAGAUUUUACCAAUUGGAUUCUUGGGGGAUACAUUCUUGGGGUUUUGGGACCGCUUCAGACUGUAUCACAUUCACUGGUGUUAUUACAAACAGGUAAACCCAUAUCUUAUAUAUUUCCGUAAGAGGCAGGAGAUUAACAAUCAUUUUGGAAUUUGGAGGAUAGUGGAUUUCUGCAUCUCAUAAGAAACGGAAAUAAACACGAGUAAGUGAGAGAAAACAAAAUAUGUGUGUUGACCCUAAAAACUACAAAGCCUACGUGGCGCGCAGGCCGAGUAAUUAAUGAGCUAACUACGUCCUUCGGUGAAUGCGGGGCGUGCCAACUCGUCGGCCGAGCUCGGCCGAGGAGUAAAUUUGUUGAUGUUGCGUUGAGUCACGCUAUUGACUUCUGCGUCUUG